CCUACGGGGGACAGCAGUGAGGAAUAUUGGUCAAUGGACGAGAGUCUGAACCAGCCAAGUAGCGUGAAGGAUGACUGCCCUAUGGGUUGUAAACUUCUUUUAUAAAGGAAUAAAACGAGGCACGUGUGCCUUUUUGCAUGUACUUUAUGAAUAAGGAUCGGCUAACUCCGUGCCAGCAGCCGCGGUAAUACGGAGGAUCCGAGCGUUAUCCGGAUUUAUUGGGUUUAAAGGGAGCGUAGAUGGGUUGUUAAGUCAGUUGUGAAAGUCUGCGGCUCAACCGUAAAAUUGCCAUUGAUACUGGCAGUCUUGAGUACAGUUGAGGUAGGCGGAAUGCGUGGUGUAGCGGUGAAAUGCUUAGAUAUCACGAAGAACCCCGAUUGCGAAGGUAGCUUACUAAACUGUGACUGACAUUGAUGCUCGAAAGUGUGGGUAUCGAACAGGAUUAGAUACCCUUGUAGUC
rnacentral:rRNA from 1 species